rnacentral:rRNA from 1 species
CAGUAGCCGCGGUAAUACGAAGGGGGCUAGCGUUGCUCGGAAUUACUGGGCGUAAAGGGAGCGUAGGCGGACAUUUAAGUCAGGGGUGAAAUCCCAGAGCUCAACUCUGGAACUGCCUUUGAUACUGGGUGUCUUGAGUGUGAUAGAGGUAUGUGGAACUCCGAGUGUAGAGGUGAAAUUCGUAGAUAUUCGGAAGAACACCAGUGGCGAAGGCGACAUACUGGAUCAUUACUGACGCUGAGGCUCGAAAGCGUGGGGAGCAAACAGGAUUAGAUACCCCAGUAGUCCCUGUCUCUUUACC